GACGAACGCUGGCGGCGUGCUUAACACAUGCAAGUCGAACGGAAAGGCCCUGCUUUUGUGGGGUGCUCGAGUGGCGAACGGGUGAGUAACACGUGAGUAACCUGCCCUUGACUUUGGGAUAACUUCAGGAAACUGGGGCUAAUACCGGAUAGGAGCUCCUGCUGCAUGGUGGGGGUUGGAAAGUUUCGGCGGUUGGGGAUGGACUCGCGGCUUAUCAGCUUGUUGGUGGGGUAGUGGCUUACCAAGGCUUUGACGGGUAGCCGGCCUGAGAGGGUGACCGGCCACAUUGGGACUGAGAUACGGCCCAGACUCCUACGGGAGGCAGCAGUGGGGAAUAUUGCACAAUGGGCGGAAGCCUGGUGCAGCAACGCCGCGUGCGGGAUGACGGCCUUCGGGUUGUAAACCGCUUUCGCCUGUGACGAAGCGUGAGUGACGGUAAUGGGUAAAGAAGCACCGGCUAACUACGUGCCAGCAGCCGCGGUGAUACGUAGGGUGCGAGCGUUGUCCGGAUUUAUUGGGCGUAAAGGGCUCGUAGGUGGUUGAUCGCGUCGGAAGUGUAAUCUUGGGGCUUAACCCUGAGCGUGCUUUCGAUACGGGUUGACUUGAGGAAGGUAGGGGAGAAUGGAAUUCCUGGUGGAGCGGUGGAAUGCGCAGAUAUCAGGAGGAACACCAGUGGCGAAGGCGGUUCUCUGGGCCUUUCCUGACGCUGAGGAGCGAAAGCGUGGGGAGCGAACAGGCUUAGAUACCCUAGUAGUCCACGCUGUAAACGGUGGGUACUAGGUGUGGGGUCCAUUCCACGGGUUCCGUGCCGUAGCUAACGCUUUAAGUACCCCGCCUGGGGAGUACGGCCGCAAGGCUAAAACUCAAAGGAAUUGACGGGGCCCCGCACAAGCGGCGGAGCAUGCGGAUUAAUUCGAUGCAACGCGUAGAACCUUACCUGGGUUUGACAUGGAUCGGGAGUGCUCAGAGAUGGGUGUGCCUCUUUUGGGGUCGGUUCACAGGUGGUGCAUGGCUGUCGUCAGCUCGUGUCGUGAGAUGUUGGGUUAAGUCCCGCAACGAGCGCAACCCUUGUUCACUGUUGCCAGCACGUUAUGGUGGGGACUCAGUGGAGACCGCCGGGGUCAACUCGGAGGAAGGUGGGGAUGACGUCAAGUCAUCAUGCCCCUUAUGUCCAGGGCUUCACGCAUGCUACAAUGGCUGGUACAGAGAGUGGCGAGCCUGUGAGGGUGAGCGAAUCUCGGAAAGCCGGUCUCAGUUCGGAUUGGGGUCUGCAACUCGACCUCAUGAAGUCGGAGUCGCUAGUAAUCGCAGAUCAGCAACGCUGCGGUGAAUACGUUCCCGGG
rnacentral:rRNA from 1 species